GAUGAACGCUGGCGGCGUGCUUAACACAUGCAAGUCGAACGAUGAUGCACCGCUUGCGGUGUGGAUUAGUGGCGAACGGGUGAGUAACACGUGAGUAACCUGCCCUUGACUCUGGGAUAAGCCUGGGCAACUGGGUCUAAUACCGGAUAUGACCUUUCACCGCAUGGUGGGGGGUGGAAAGCUUUUGUGGUUUUGGAUGGACUCGCGGCCUAUCAGCUUGUUGGUGGGGUAAUGGCCGACCAAGGCGAUGACGGGUAGCCGGCCUGAGGGGGUGACCGGCCACACUGGGACUGAGACACGGCCCAGACUCCUACGGGAGGCAGCAGUGGGGAAUAUUGCACAAUGGGCGGAAGCCUGAUGCAGCGACGCCGCGUGAGGGAUGACGGCCUUCGGGUUGUAAACCUCUUUCAGUAGGGAAGAAGCGAAAGUGACGGUACCUGCAGAAGAAGCGCCGGCUAACUACGUGCCAGCAGCCGCAGUAA
rnacentral:rRNA from 1 species